GGGGCGGCGCGCGGGGUCACGUGACGUGCGUGGCGACGUGUCGGCCAUCUUGUGUUGUUGAGGCUGAGGAUUGACUUGGGUUCUGAGAGACUCCUGUCCCGGACCGCAGUGUUAAAAAGACCUGAAAACGUUUACUGAAACGUCCUGCAGUGAGGUAGCAGAACUUUUGAACAGGUUUUUCAACAUACAAAAAUCUUUUUAAAAAUACGGAGAAUGGCAGCAGAAACCCAGACACUAAAUUUUGGGCCUGAAUGGUGAGUUCUGUCUUGUCUUAUUUGGGAUUAAAUGACAUAAUCCACUAGUAUGAUGUAUACAGAUGCC